rnacentral:rRNA from 1 species
CUACGGGAUGCAGCAGUGAGGAAUAUUGCACAAUGGGGGGAACCCUGAUGCAGCAACGCCGCGUGGAGGAUGACGCAUUUCGGUGUGUAAACUCCUUUUAUAUGUCAAGAAAAUGACGGUAGCAUAUGAAUAAGCACCGGCUAACUCCGUGCCAGCAGCCGCGGUAAUACGGAGGGUGCAAGCGUUACUCGGAAUCACUGGGCGUAAAGGACGCGUAGGCGGGUUGGAAAGUCAGGUGUGAAAUCCUACAGCUUAACUGUAGAACUGCACUUGAAACUUCUAAUCUAGAGUAUGGGAGGGGGAGAUGGAAUUAGUGGUGUAGGGGUAAAAUCCGUAGAAAUCACUAGGAAUACCUAAAGCGAAGGCGAUCUCCUGGAACAUUACUGACGCUAAGGCGUGAAAGCGUGGGGAGCAAACAGGAUUAGAUACCCUUGUAGUC